CUAAGAGAUAUGCGUUCAGCAAUUGAAUUUUCGUCCAAAGUAGCAGUGGAUCUAGUAAGAAAUCUUGCUAGAAAUAUGUCCUUUUCGAUUUCCUCCAGACGGGCACUUUGGCUCAGGUCUUGGGCAGCUGAUGCUUCCUCCAAGAAUAGUUUAUGUUCUUUACCAUUCCACGGAAAUAUGUUGUUUGGUAAGAACUUAGAUGAAUGUAUAAAGAGAGCAGCUGAAGGUAAUAAGGCCU